CCUACGGGAGACAGCAGUGGGGGAUAUUGCACAAUGGGGGGAACCCUGAUGCAGCGACGCCGCGUGGGUGAAGAAGCGCCUCGGCGCGUAAAGCCCUGUCAGCAGGGAAGAAAAUGACGGUACCUGAAGAAGACGCCCCGGCUAACUACGUGCCAGCAGCCGCGGUAAUACGUAGGGGGCAAGCGUUAUCCGGAUUUACUGGGUGUAAGGGGGGCGCAGACGGCGAUGCAAGCCAGGAGUGAAAGCCCGGGGCCCAACCCCGGGACUGCUCUUGGAACUGCGUGGCUGGAGUGCAGGAGGGGCAGGCGGAAUUCCUGGUGUAGCGGUGAAAUGCGUAGAUAUCAGGAGGAACACCGGUGGCGAAGGCGGCCUGCUGGACUGCAACUGACGUUGAGGCCCGAAGGCGUGGGGAGCAAACGGGAUUAGAUACCCCGGUAGUC
rnacentral:rRNA from 1 species